rnacentral:rRNA from 1 species
CAGCAGGCGCGCAAAUUACCCAAUCCUGACACAGGGAGGUAGUGACAAUAAAUAACGAUACAGGGCCUAUGGUCUUGUAAUCGGAAUGAGAACAAUUUAAACCACUUAUCGAGGAACAAUUGGAGGGCAAGUCUGGUGCCAGCAGCCGCGGUAAUUCCAGCUCCAAUAGCGUAUGUUAAAGUUGUUGCAGUUAAAAAGCUCGUAGUUGAACCUCGCCGCCGGCUCCGGGUCCCCCUCACGGGGCGUACUCGUCGCUUGCGGCUUUGCUCUACUAGUGUGUGCGUUCGCGUGCACUCAUAGUGGAGCGUUUACUGUGAGAAAAUUAGAGUGUUCAAAGCAGGCGUUUCGCUCGAAUACGUUAGCAUGGAAUAAUAGAAUAGGACGAGGGUUCUAUUUUGUUGGUUCUAGGACCGUCGUAAUGAUUAAUAGGGAUGGUCGGGGGCAUCAGUAUUCAGUAGUAAGAGGUGAAAUUCUUGGAUUUACUGAAGACUAACUGCUGCGAAAGCGUUUGCCAAGGACAUCUUCAUUAAUCAAGAACGAAAGUUAGGGGAUCGAAGACGCUUAGAUACCGUCGUAGUCUUAACCGUAAACUAUGCCGACUCUGAAUCGGCCCCUUGAAUUUUAUGGGGGGUCGGCGCAGUGUGAG